UACCUCUUCUUAACUCAAGCCUAAUAGUAUCAAUCGCAGUUCUAGCGUUAAGCACUAGGAUUUCACAACUGACUUAAUAAGCCGCCUACGCACCCUUUAAACCCAAUAAAACCGGAUAACGCUUGCACCUCCCGUAUUACCGCGGCUGCUGGCACGGAAUUAGCCGGUGCUUAUUCUUACAGUACUCUCAAGAACCCCCGCAGGGAUUUUUUUGCUCCUGUACAAAAGCAGUUUACAACUCAUAGAGCCUUCAUCCUGCACGCGGCAUGGCUGGUUCAGGCUUGCGCCCAUUGACCAAUAUUCCCUACUGCUGCCUCCCGUAGGAGUCUGGCCCGUAUCUCAGUGCCAGUGUGGGGGACCUUCCACUAAGAACCCCUACCCAUCGUAGCCUUGGUGAGCCAUUACCUCUCCAACUAGCUAAUAGGACGCACGCUCAUUUUACACCGCA
rnacentral:rRNA from 1 species